CUUCAAUUGUCAGCAUAACCUCAUUCUUCUUGGAUGCAGGACAAGAACCUGGGACCCGCUGAACAGCUGGGGCAAAAGGAGCUGUAAGCUGUAGCCCUGCCAUCCUUUGCCAGUGCCAGGUGGCGUCCCCAUGAGAUGGGAAACAGAGAUGUUUUACUGCACCAAUGUUGGAAGCCGGAAAGCAUGGAAUGCUUAACUGAAAAGCUCACAUGUAAAUGUCUAGGCUGUAAUGGGGUGCAAGCCAGUAAGCAAGCCAUAUAUUCAAUCAACAUCUAGAAAAAGGAUACCUUUGAGGCAAGUACUGGAUAUAAUGACAUGAAAGAUGCUAUCCUGAGCCAAGAUGUGUCACUUUCUAACUUCGAUAUGGAUUUUCCUUUUGAGUAUCAGUAGUCUUUGUUUUCAUGUUAACUUCAGGCUGAGUCAUCUUUAAAAAGAUUAAACAUGGAAGUCUACCAAUGUUUCCAUGCUGGUCUUUCCACAACCAUGCGAACACAAUUAUGUCCCUCCACUACCCCAACACACAUAAACACACACACACACACACACACACACACAGUCACAUGGAUAUAUCUCUGUCUCUAACUCGAUGGCUACCUGUGUCUGUGUCUAUGUUUACAUAUAUAUCUCUGUAUAUAUAAACAUUUCCAUGCCAACACACAGACUCUUAAAACCUCAAAAGGAGUAUAGAUUAUUUGAUGCAUUUUGUUUACCUGUUUUCUUUUGCAUGUCCAAGCAACUGAACGGGCUCAACUCUGUGAGGCCAAGUGGUUUGCAAAGAGAUGUGGUACUCAUUAAUUCACACAAAUCAUGAUCCACAAACUCCUGUUACAAGAUUGUUUUUUUGAAGCAGACUAGGGCCCUGUGGUUGUCAUAAACUUCCUGGGCUGGGCCAGCCGGCCAGAAGGGAAUUGCUUUUGAGAACAGCCCCUUAGCUGGCUGCGCUGCAGAACUGCUUCAACAUGCCAGCUGUUCCCUCACAGGUUGCCCAAGCAGUUUCUACUGGCCUGAUAGGUAUUUUUUGUCCAUCCCCAAAAGCAUGGUGAGGGAGAAACCUGUGUGGCAUUGCUAACAAAGAGCAAACUUUCCAGUACAGCUGAAUGAUUUCAGUGACUUUCUCAACACUGUUUCCUAUUUUGCUGACAAGACACUCACUACAUGGUGCAAAGUAUUGCUGGGACGUGACAGACUCAUCAUGUUCAAUUUUCCUAAGAAUUGAGAACCACAGCCAAAAUGGUGUUGGGUGUGAGAUUCUAAAGCACGCUCCCUUUUUGAGAUGCUGGAUUUGCUAAUCUGUCAAAGCAACUAAUGUGCUGCUCAGGUAUCUGCAGAGUUUCUUCUUCAUUAUGUGGAACACUGAGCAAUUGCAUUGGGAAGACUCAGAAAUGCCAGGGACAUUACCAUCUGGAAAAAGCAGAGGAAAAAUGCUGACUGGCUGUGAUGCUGAAGAGUUGGAUUACUGGAAAACUCAGUAAUGGGCAGACCCCUAUGCUUAUAUCCACUGGAAAAAGGGUCUGUCAAUUCGAGCAAAAUAAUGGUGCAAGUUAUGGGAUGAAGAAAUAUGUUUUCCAAUAUUUAUUGUGAAAUUUUCAUUUCAUAUUAAGAAUUAUUUUUAAAUGUAGUACAAUUUCAAUCCUUUGCUCAGUAGCUCUCUCCCUGAAAAUAUUCCGUUUUUAUUGUUAUUUCAUUCACUUUGUUUUUACCUGUUUAUAUAGAACUCUG
rnacentral:lncRNA from 10 species